ACUCUGUAGCCCAGGCUGGCCUUGAACUCACAGAGAUCCACCUGCCUCUGCCUCCCGAGUGCUGGGAUCAAAAGGAUGCACCGCUGCUGCUACCACCACCACUGCCGCCACCUGGCUGAGCUGCAUUUCUUUAGCUACAUAGGAAGCCUGUCUAGAAGAAAAUAUGAACAGCUCCCAUCCUCCCACCCUCAGGACCAAGAAGAGUCUUUCCCUGAGGCCCGAGGCCAAGUUCCUGAGUAGGAGGAAUGCCUAAGAGCACCUGCACUGUCCAGACCAGUCCCAAGGUGAUAGUCAGUGCUUGACGUCUCCCAGGCUGGUUCUAAACACGUGCACGUACCGCUGCAGAUAGCCACCAACUAGAUUCAAAGCCACAACACAAAAGGAUGCCAAGGACACAUGAAGAGCACACCACAGCCUGCGUGUUCAGGGGCUGUUUUCCAUAUGUCCAUUCGUUUCUUUUGUUUAAGGCACCUGCCUAAGUUGGGUCAUUUAGCACAAAGCCUUGUAAAUAAAAGGAACUAGCAAUGAAAUAAAAGUCUUUACAGUUGCUUGAAAA